GAUGAACGCUAGCUACAGGCUUAACACAUGCAAGUCGAGGGGCAGCAUUUCAGUUUGCUUGCAAACUGGAGAUGGCGACCGGCGCACGGGUGAGUAACACGUAUCCAACCUGCCGAUAACUCGGGGAUAGCCUUUCGAAAGAAAGAUUAAUACCCGAUGGUAUAAUCAGACCGCAUGGUCUUGUUAUUAAAGAAUUUCGGUUAUCGAUGGGGAUGCGUUCCAUUAGGCAGUUGGUGAGGUAACGGCUCACCAAACCUUCGAUGGAUAGGGGUUCUGAGAGGAAGGUCCCCCACAUUGGAACUGAGACACGGUCCAAACUCCUACGGGAGGCAGCAGUGAGGAAUAUUGGUCAAUGGGCGCAGGCCUGAACCAGCCAAGUAGCGUGAAGGAUGACUGCCCUAUGGGUUGUAAACUUCUUUUAUAUGGGAAUAAAGUUUUCCACGUGUGGAAUUUUGUAUGUACCAUAUGAAUAAGGAUCGGCUAACUCCGUGCCAGCAGCCGCGGUAAUACGGAGGAUCCGAGCGUUAUCCGGAUUUAUUGGGUUUAAAGGGAGCGUAGGUGGACAGUUAAGUCAGUUGUGAAAGUUUGCGGCUCAACCGUAAAAUUGCAGUUGAUACUGGCUGUCUUGAGUACAGUAGAGGUGGGCGGAAUUCGUGGUGUAGCGGUGAAAUGCUUAGAUAUCACGAAGAACUCCGAUUGCGAAGGCAGCUCACUGGACUGCAACUGACACUGAUGCUCGAAAGUGUGGGUAUCAAACAGGAUUAGAUACCCUGGUAGUCCACACAGUAAACGAUGAAUACUCGCUGUUUGCGAUAUACAGUAAGCGGCCAAGCGAAAGCAUUAAGUAUUCACCUGGGGAGUACGCCGGCAACGGUGAAACUCAAAGGAAUUGACGGGGGCCCGCACAAGCGGAGGAACAUGUGGUUUAAUUAGAUGAUACGCGAGGAACCUUACCCGGGCUUAAAUUGCAUUUGAAUAUAUUGGAAACAGUAUAGCCGUAAGGCAAAUGUGAAGGUGCUGCAUGGUUGUCGUCAGCUCGUGCCGUGAGGUGUCGGCUUAAGUGCCAUAACGAGCGCAACCCUUAUCUUUAGUUACUAACAGGUCAUGCUGAGGACUCUAGAGAGACUGCCGUCGUAAGAUGUGAGGAAGGUGGGGAUGACGUCAAAUCAGCACGGCCCUUACGUCCGGGGCUACACACGUGUUACAAUGGGGGGUGCAGAAGGCAGCUACCUGGUGACAGGAUGCUAAUCCCAAAAGCCUCUCUCAGUUCGGAUCGAAGUCUGCAACCCGACUUCGUGAAGCUGGAUUCGCUAGUAAUCGCGCAUCAGCCAUGGCGCGGUGAAUAAGUUCCCGGGCCUUGCACA
rnacentral:rRNA from 1 species